rnacentral:rRNA from 1 species
AGUGAACGCUGGCGGUAGGCCUAACACAUGCAAGUCGAACGGCAGCACAGUAAGAGCUUGCUCUUACGGGUGGCGAGUGGCGGACGGGUGAGGAAUACAUCGGAAUCUGCUUUUUCGUGGGGGAUAACGUAGGGAAACUUACGCUAAUACCGCAUGCGACCUACGGGUGAAAGCAGGGGAUCUUCGGACCUUGCGCGAUUGAAUGAGCCGAUGUCGGAUUAGCUAGUUGGCGGGGUAAAGGCCCACCAAGGCGACGAUCCGUAGCUGGUCUGAGAGGAUGAUCAGCCACACUGGAACUGAGACACGGUCCAGACUCCUACGGGAGGCAGCAGUGGGGAAUAUUGGACAAUGGGCGCAAGCCUGAUCCAGCCAUACCGCGUGGGUGAAGAAGGCCUUCGGGUUGUAAAGCCCUUUUGUUGGGAAAGAAAAGCAGCAGGUUAAUACCCCGCUGUUCUGACGGUACCCAAAGAAUAAGCACCGGCUAACUUCGUG